CAACAGCUCUGCAGACCUUCAGUUUGGUAUACAGCCUCCUACCUCUCCUCUCCCAAACACUGAACAAGCUCUGGCAAUGCGUGUGUCAGCCUCAUCAUCUCUGUGAACAUCCUUGGAAAGAAUACUGCCGAGGAAGCAUCUGCCUGGCAUUCAAGGUCCAAAUGAUGGUCCAAAACCCAGCUCUGUUGGGGAACGAGGGAGAGACAUUGGCUCUCCGUCGCAUGCCAGCCUGUCUCCUCCCCUCCAACAGGUACAGCUGAUCUUCCAUGCUGCUGACAGAAUAAUAGAAACAUCGGUUACAUUACUCCUCUGCUCAAACAUCUUAUCAACCAAGCAAAGGUCAAACUCCUGUCCAGACACUUAUAGUCCCAAGCAAUCUCAGGAUCCAAGCUGAAAGGGACCAUGGAGGUCAUUUAGUCCAACCCUCUCCCUUUACAGAAGAGGAAAUUGAAACCCAGA